CCUACGGGUGGCAGCAGUGAGGAAUAUUGGUCAAUGGGCGCGAGCCUGAACCAGCCAAGUCGCGUGAGGGAAGACGGUCCUAUGGAUUGUAAACCUCUUUUGUCGGGGAGCAAAAGACGCCACGCGUGGCGUUCCGCGAGUACCCGACGAAAAAGCAUCGGCUAACUCCGUGCCAGCAGCCGCGGUAAUACGGAGGAUGCGCGCGUUAUCCGGAUUUAUUGGGUUUAAAGGGUGCGCAGGCGGAAGAUCAAGGCAGCGGUAAAAUUGAGAGGCUCAACCUCUUCGAGCCGUUGAAACUGGUUUUCUUGAGUGAGCGAGAAGUAGGCGGAAUGCGUGGUGUAGCGGUGAAAUGCAUAGAUAGCACGCAGAACUCCGAUUGCGAAGGCAGCAUACCGGCGCUCAACUGACGCUCAUGCACGAAAGUGUGGGUAUCGAACAGGAUUAGAUACCCCAGUAGUC
rnacentral:rRNA from 1 species